rnacentral:rRNA from 1 species
GAUGAACGCUAGCUACAGGCUUAACACAUGCAAGUCGAGGGGCAUCAUGACGGUAGCUUGCUACCGUUGAUGGCGACCGGCGCACGGGUGAGUAACGCGUAUCCAACCUACCCCCUACUCGGCAAUAGCCCGUCGAAAGGCGGAUUAAUGGCCGAUGCAGUCCAUUGAUGACAUCAGAUUUGGACGAAAGCUUUUUGCGGUAUGGGAUGGGGAUGCGUCUGAUUAGGCAGUUGGCGGGGUAACGGCCCACCAAACCGACGAUCAGUAGGGGUUCUGAGAGGAAGGUCCCCCACAUUGGAACUGAGACACGGUCCAAACUCCUACGGGAGGCAGCAGUGAGGAAUAUUGGUCAAUGGGCGAGAGCCUGAACCAGCCAAGUAGCGUGCAGGAUGACGGCCCUAUGGGUUGUAAACUGCUUUUAUAUGGGGAUAAAGUUAGUCACGUGUGACUAUUUGCAGGUACCAUAUGAAUAAGGACCGGCUAAUUCCGUG